rnacentral:rRNA from 1 species
UACGAACUGUGCGAACGUUAUUCGGAAUCACUGGGCUUACAGGGUGCGUAGGCGGCUUGUUAAGUAGGGUGUGAAAGCCCCCGGCUCAACCGGGGAAUGGCGCCCUAAACUGGCGAGCUGGAGUGAGAUAGGGGUGUGCGGAACUUCCGGUGGAGCGGUGAAAUGCGUAGAUAUCUGGAGGAACACCGGUGGCGAAGGCGGCAUCCUGGACCAACACUGACGCUGAGUGAGCGAAAGCCAGGGGAGCAAACGGG